UGGGGAAUAUUGGACAAUGGGCGCAAGCCUGAUCCAGCCAUGCCGCGUGAGUGAAGAAGGCCUUAGGGUUGUAAAGCUCUUUCACCUGCGAAGAUGAUGACGGUAGCAGGAGAAGAAGCCCCGGCUAACUCCGUGCCAGCAGCCGCGGUAAUACGGAGGGGGCUAGCGUUGUUCGGAUUUACUGGGCGUAAAGCGCAUGCAGGCGGAUCGUUAAGUCGGGGGUGAAAGCCCGAGGCUCAACCUCGGAACUGCCUUCGAUACUGGCGAUCUUGAGUCCGGGAGAGGUGAGUGGAACUCCGAGUGUAGAGGUGAAAUUCGUAGAUAUUCGGAAGAACACCAGUGGCGAAGGCGGCUCACUGGCCCGGUACUGACGCUGAGAUGCGAAAGCGUGGGGAGCAAACAGGAUUAGAUACCCCCGUAGUCC
rnacentral:rRNA from 1 species